AUGAGAGCGGAUACGUUGAAUGCCACGUCCCUCAAAAGUGUUCUAGAUAUGUACUGUGCGAGUUCAGGGCAAUUGGUAAAUGAUGCAAAAUUCAGUGUUUUUUUCAUCCCAAAUACAUCAGUGGAGGUACGAGCCGAGGUUUGCACGAAGCUUAAUAUUGUUUCAGAGGCUAUUUCUGAUAAGUACUUGGGACUACCGUCGAAGAUCGGAAUCGACCGUAGUGACUGUUUCCAACACCUAGUUAAUAGAGUUUGUGCAUUGAUUAACAGCUGGAUGUCGAAAAUGUUAUCAAUCAGUGGAAAGGAGACGCUCUAG
rnacentral:rRNA from 1 species